AGAGUUUGAUCUGGCUCAGGAUGAACGCUGGCGGCGUGCCUAACACAUGCAAGUCGAACGAAGAACACGGACGGAAGCCUUCGGGUCAAAGACUGUGUUACUUAGUGGCGGACGGGUGAGUAACGCGUGGGGAACCUGCCCUGUACAGGGGGAUAACAGCCGGAAACGGCUGCUAAUACCGCAUAAGCGCAUAGUGCCGCAUGGCACGGUGUGAAAAACUCCGGUGGUACAGGAUGGACCCGCGUCUGAUUAGCCAGUUGGCGGGGCAACGGCCCACCAAAGCGACGAUCAGUAGCCGGCCUGAGAGGGCGGACGGCCACAUUGGGACUGAGACACGGCCCAGACUCCUGCGGGAGGCAGCUGUGGGGAAUAUUGCGCAAUGGGGGGAACCCUGACGCAGCAACGCCGCGUGCAGGAAGAAGGUCUUCGGAUUGUAAACCGUUGUCGCAAGGGAAGAAGACAGUGACGGUACCUUGUGAGAAAGUCACGGCUAACUACGUGCCAGCAGCCGCGGUAAUACGUAGGUGACAAGCGUUGUCCGGAUUUACUGGGUGUAAAGGGCGCGUAGGCGGGCUGUCAAGUCAGCCGUGAAAUGCCGGGGCUUAACCCCGGAGCUGCGGUUGAAACUGACAGUCUUGAGUAUCGGAGAGGAAAGCGGAAUUCCCAGUGUAGCGGUGAAAUGCGUAGAUAUUGGGAGGAACACCAGUGGCGAAGGCGGCUUUCUGGACGACAACUGACGCUCAGGCGCGAAAGUGUGGGGAGCAAACAGGAUUAGAUACCCUGGUAGUCCACACCGUAAACGAUGGAUACUAGGUAUAGGAGGUAUCGACCCCUUCUGUGCCGCAGUCAACACAAUUAGUAUCCCACCUGGGGAGUACGUCCGCAAGGUUGAAACUCAAAGGAAUUGACGGGGGCCCGCACAAGCAGUGGAGUAUGUGGUUUAAUUCGAAGCAACGCGAAGAACCUUACCUGGGCUUGACAUCCCGCUGACCGUCUUAGAGAUAAGAUUUUCCUUCGGGACAGCGGUGACAGGUGGUGCAUGGUUGUCGUCAGCUCGUGUCGUGAGAUGUUGGGUUAAGUCCCGCAACGAGCGCAACCCCUAUUGUCAGUUGCCAUCAUUCAGUUGGGCACUCUGGCGAGACUGCCGGUGACAAACCGGAGGAAGGUGGGGACGACGUCAAAUCAUCAUGCCCCUUAUGCCCAGGGCUACACACGUACUACAAUGGCCGGCAACAAAGUGCAGCGAAACUGUGAAGUGGAGCGAAUCACAAAACCCGGUCUCAGUUCAGAUAGCAGGCUGCAACUCGCCUGCAUGAAGUUGGAAUUGCUAGUAAUCGCGAAUCAGAAUGUCGCGGUGAAUACGUAGCCGGGCCUUGCACACACCGCCCGUCA
rnacentral:rRNA from 1 species